rnacentral:rRNA from 1 species
GACGUAGGGCGCGAGCGUUGUCCGGAAUUAUUGGGCGUAAAGAGCUCGUAGGCGGCUUGUCGCGUCGACUGUGAAAACCUGCAGCUCAACUGUGGGCUUGCAGUCGAUACGGGCAGGCUAGAGUUCGGUAGGGGAGACUGGAAUUCCUGGUGUAGCGGUGAAAUGCGCAGAUAUCAGGAGGAACGCCGAUGGCGAAGGCAGGUCUCUGGGCCAUAACUGACGCUGAGAAGCGAAAGCAUGGGGAGCGAACAGG